GCGCCAAUAGCUCAGUUGGAUAGAGCGUUCGCCUCCUAAGCGAAAGGUCGGGGGUUCGAAUCCCUUUUGGCGCGCCA
rnacentral:tRNA from 2 species